AUUGAACGCUGGCGGCAUGCCUUACACAUGCAAGUCGAACGGUAGAAGGAGCAAUCCUUCGAGAGUGGCGAACGGGUGAGUAAUACAUCGGAACGUACCUGGUAGUGGGGGAGUAGCCCGGCCGAAAGACCGGAUUAAUACCGCAUAAGAACCUGAGGGUGGAAAGACGGGGGACCGGUAAGGCCUCGCGCUACCGGAGCGGCCGAUGUCAGAUUAGCUAGUUGGUGGGGUAAAAGGACCUACCAAGGCGACGAUCUGUAGCUGGUCUGAGAGGACGACCAGCCACACUGGGACUGAGACACGGCCCAGACUCCUACGGGAGGCAGCAGUGGGGAAGUUUUGG
rnacentral:rRNA from 1 species